AGUGAGAACUCUCCCCUGCCCUGAACACACCCGAUCUCCUCUGAUCUUGGAAGCUAAGCAGGGUAGGGCCUGGUUAGUACUUGGAUAGGAGACCACCUAGGAAUACCAGCUGCUGUAGGCU
rnacentral:rRNA from 1 species